rnacentral:rRNA from 1 species
GGGCCCGCACAAGCGGUGGAGCAUGUGGAUUAAUUCGAAGCAACGCGAAGAACCUUACCUAGCCUUGACAUCCUUGGAACCUGCCCCAAAAGGCGGGGUGCCCCUCGGGGAAUCAAGUGACAGGUGCUGCAUGGCUGUCGUCAGCUCGUGUCGUGAGAUGUUGGGUUAAGUCCCGCAACGAGCGCAACCCUUGUCUUUAGUUGCCAGCAUUUAGUUGGGCACUCUAGAGAGACUGCCGGUGUCAAGCCGGAGGAAGGUGGGGACGACGUCAAGUCAUCAUGGCCCUUACGGCUAGGGCUUCACACGUGCUACAAUGGACGGUACAAAGGGUAGCGAAGCCGCGAGGUGGAGCCAAUCCCAAAAAGCCGCUCUCAGUUCGGAUUGGAGUCUGCAACUCGACUCCAUGAAGUCGGAAUCGCUAGUAAUCGU